rnacentral:rRNA from 1 species
GAUGAACGCUACGCGGGCGAGGCUUAACACAUGCAAGUCGAGGGCAGCGUGGGGGCAGGCAAAGUGCUCCGACGGCGACCGGCGGAAGGGUGCGUAACACGUGAGCGACUUGCCCGUCACAGGGGGAUAACCGGCGGAAACGGCGACUAAUACCCCAUAUGAUGUGAUGCUGCAUGGCAUCGCAUUGAAAGAUUCAUCGGUGGCGGAUAGGCUCGCGGGACAUUAGCUAGACGGCGGGGCAACGGCCCACCGUGGCGACGAUGUCUAGGGGUUCUGAGAGGAAGACCCCCCACACUGGGACUGAGACACGGCCCACG